UCGGGCGUGGUGUACGAAACACGUUCUCUAUUCUUGGACUGUCCAGAGUGAAUGAAUGGGGGGGACCCAGGUUCGACUCCUGGCGCCCGAG